UAGCAUAUCAAUAAGCGGAGGAAAAGAAACCAACAGGGAUUGCCCUAGUAACGGCGAGUGAAGCGGCAACAGCUCAAAUUUGAAAUCUGGCGCAAGCCCGAGUUGUAAUUUGUAGAGGAUGCUUCUGGGUAGCGACCGGUCUAAGUUCCUUGGAACAGGACGUCAUAGAGGGUGAGAAUCCCGUAUGUGACCGGCCCGCACCCUUUACGUAGCUCCUUCGACGAGUCGAGUUGUUUGGGAAUGCAGCUCUAAAUGGGAGGUAAAUUUCUUCUAAAGCUAAAUACCGGCCAGAGACCGAUAGCGCACAAGUAGAGUGAUCGAAAGAUGAAAAGUACUUUGGAAAGAGAGUUAAAAAGCACGUGAAAUUGUUGAAAGGGAAGCGCCUGCAAUCAGACUUCGCGGCAGUGUUCCGCCGGCCUUCUGGCCGGUUCAUUCUCUGUCGCGAGGCCAUCAUCGUCUCGGCCCGCUGGAUAAGACCUUGGGAAUGUAGCUCACCUUCGGGGGAGUGUUAUAGCUCAUGGUGAUGCAGCGAGGCUGGGGCGAGGUCCGCGCUUCGGCAAGGAUGAUGGCGUAAUGGUUGUCGGCGGCCCGUCUUGAAACACGGACCAAGGAGUCUAACAUCUAUGCGAGUGUUCGGGUGUCAAACCCCUACGCGUAAUGAAAGUGAACGGAGGUGGGAACCGCAAGGUGCACCAUCGACCGAUCCUGAUGUCCUCGGAUGGAUUUGAGUAAGAGCAUAGCUGUUGGGACCCGAAAGAUGGUGAACUAUGCCUGAAUAGGGUGAAGCCAGAGGAAACUCUGGUGGAGGCUCGCAGCGGUUCUGACGUGCAAAUCGAUCGUCAAAUUUGGGUAUAGGGGCGAAAGACUAAUCGAACCAUCUAGUAGCUGGUUCCUGCCGAAG
rnacentral:rRNA from 1 species